GUUUUCUUUAUGGUACCUUCUCCACAUCUUGGGGGAAUACCUCUUUGCUCACAGCCCAAGUGGUGGAGUGUUGAAGGUGAAUGCAGAUAGGCAGAGCACA